rnacentral:rRNA from 1 species
CCUACGGGCGGCAGCAGUGGGGAAUAUUGGGCAAUGGGCGCAAGCCUGACCCAGCAACGCCGCGUGAAGGAAGAAGGCUUUCGGGUUGUAAACUUCUUUUCUCAGGGACGAAGAAAGUGACGGUACCUGAGGAAUAAGCCACGGCUAACUACGUGCCAGCAGCCGCGGUAAUACGUAGGUGGCAAGCGUUAUCCGGAUUUAUUGGGUGUAAAGGGCGUGUAGGCGGGAGCGCAAGUCAGAUGUGAAAACUCAGGGCUCAACCCUGAGCCUGCAUUUGAAACUGUGGUUCUUGAGUACUGGAGAGGCAGACGGAAUUCCUAGUGUAGCGGUGAAAUGCGUAGAUAUUAGGAGGAACACCAGUGGCGAAGGCGGUCUGCUGGACAGCAACUGACGCUGAGGCGCGAAAGCGUGGGGAGCAAACAGGAUUAGAUACCCCUGUAGUC